UUUUAUGAUGAUUAUCUUUUAUAUUUAUAACUUUCGUUCUACCGAUUUGUGAUCAAACGAUCUUGAGGAAACUUAUUUACUGAUU
rnacentral:snoRNA from 1 species